GAGUUUGAUCCUGGCUCAGGAUGAACGCUAGCGGGAGGCCUAACACAUGCAAGCCGAGCGGUAUUGUUUCUUCGGAAAUGAGAGAGCGGCGUACGGGUGCGGAACACGUGUGCAACCUGCCUUUAUCUGGGGGAUAGCCUUUCGAAAGGAAGAUUAAUACUCCAUAAUAUAUUGAACGGCAUCGUUUAAUAUUGAAAGCUCCGGCGGAUAGAGAUGGGCACGCGCAAGAUUAGCUAGUUGGUGAGGUAACGGCUCACCAAGGCGAUGAUCUUUAGGGGCCUGAGAGGGUGAUCCCCCACACUGGUACUGAGACACGGACCAGACUCCUACGGGAGGCAGCAGUGAGGAAUAUUGGUCAAUGGGUGCAAGCCUGAACCAGCCAUCCCGCGUGAAGGACGACUGCCCUAUGGGUUGUAAACUUCUUUUGUAUAGGGAUAAACCUACCCUCGUGAGGGUAGCUGAAGGUACUAUACGAAUAAGCACCGGCUAACUCCGUG
rnacentral:rRNA from 1 species